CACCAGCUCCACAAGUGGGGAUCGUAUUUAUUUGGCCUAAAGCGUCCGUAGCUGGUUUUGUAAAUCUUUUGUGAAAUUGUUAGGCUUAACCUAACAGCGUGCAGGGGACACUGCAGAACUAGGGACCGGGAUGGGCUAGAGGUAUGUUGAGGGGAGCGGUAAAAUGCAAUAAUCCUCGAUAGACCACCUGUGGCGAAGGCGUCUAGCUAGAACGGGUCCGACAGUGAGGGACGAAAGCCAGGGGA
rnacentral:rRNA from 1 species